rnacentral:lncRNA from 1 species
UCCAGGUUCAGUACUAAAAAAAAAAAAAAGGUACCUUAACAAUAAAUUCUUGUUUGACAGUGAUAUCUUGAACUAACAAAGAUGGCUGGCACAGGCAGACCGACUGAUACGACAUUUCUGCAAUGCGGUUGUAACUCUGCUAGAGCUGUGGCAAUCCGGUGGAAACAUCCAGCAGCAAUUCAGAGGAAAAGCUCUUCACUGGAUCAUGAGAGAUCUGCACACAGGUUUGGUCUGGCUGCCCUUUCGAGGCCGUAACGAAUCCAUUGUAUCUACCACUGACCGCUUUUUAUCCUGAAUUUUCUGGUGAGAUCAGCGGAUUUAGCUGUUCCUUCUGGUUGGCUGUUCUGAAGCUGCGUGAGCGCUGCACAGGGGAAAGUGC